UGCUAGUCGUACGAGUUCACACUCGUGGCGGAAAGCUCAGUAACACGUGGCCAAGCUACCCUGUGGACAGGAAUACUCUCGGGAAACUGAGGCUAAUGCCUGAUACAGCUUCCAGCCWGGAGUGGCGGAAGCUGGAAAUGCCCCGGCGCCACAGGAUGCGGCUGCGGCCGAUUAGGUAGACGGUGGGGUAACGGCCCACCGUGCCAGUAAUCGGUACGGGUGAUGAAAGUCAGAGCCCGGAGACGGUAUCUGAGACAAGAUACCGGGCCCUACGGGGCGCAGCAGGCGCGAAACCUUUACACUGCACGCCAGUGCGAUAGGGGGACUCCGAGUGCGAGGGCAUACAGUCCUCGCUUUUCUAGACCGUAAGGAGGUCCAGGAACAAGGGCUGGGCAAGACCGGUGCCAGCCGCCGCGGUAAUACCGGCAGCCCAAGUGAUGGCCGAUAUUAUUGGGCCUAAAGCGUCCGUAGCCGGCCGGACAAGUUCGUUGGGAAAUCCACGCGCUUAACGCGUGGGCGUCCAGCGAAAACUGUCCGGCUUGGGGCCGGAGGACUCGAGGGGUACGUUCGGGGUAGGAGUGAAAUCCCGUAAUCCUGAACGGACCACCGGUGGCGAAAGCGCCUCGAGAGGACGGACCCGACGGUGAGGGACGAAAGCCAGGGUCUCGAACCGGAUUAGAUACCCGGGUAGUCCUGGCUGUAAACGAUGUCUGCUAGGUGUGGCGCAGGCUACGAGCCUGCGCUGUGCCGUAGGGAAGCCGUGAAGCAGACCGCCUGGGAAGUACGUCUGCAAGGAUGAAACUUAAAGGAAUUGGCGGGGGAGCACUACAACCGGAGGAGCCUGCGGUUUAAUUGGACUCAACGCCGGACAUCUCACCGGCACCGACAGUAGCUGUGAAGGUCAGUUUGAUGAGCUUACUGGAGCUACUGAGAGGAGGUGCAUGGCCGCCGUCAGCUCGUACCGUGAGGCGUCCUGUUAAGUCAGGCAACGAGCGAGACCCGCAUCUCUAGUUGCCAGCAACACCAUUGGUGGUUGGGUACACUAGAGAGACUGCCGCUGCCAAAGCGGAGGAAGGAACGGGCAACGGUAGGUCAGUAUGCCCCGAAUGUGCCGGGCAACACGCGGGCUACAAUGGCCGAGACAAUGGGAAGCCAUCUCGAGAGGGAGCGCUAAUCCCCUAAACUCGGUCGUAGUUCGGAUUGAGGGCUGAAACUCGCCCUCAUGRAGCUGGAUUCGGUAGUAGUCGCGUGUCACUAGCGCGCGGCGAAUACGUCCCUGCUCCUUGCACACACCGCCCGUCAAAGCACCCGAGUGAGGUCCGGAUGAGGCUAUCAUGCGAUAGUCGAAYCUGGGCUUCGCAAGGGGGCUUAAGUCGUAACAAGGUAACCGUA
rnacentral:rRNA from 1 species